ACGGGGGGAGCAAACGUUGUUCGGAAUCACUGGGCGUAAAGCGCGUGUAGGCGGGCUGGAAAGUUGGGGGUGAAAUCCCGAGGCUCAACCUCGGAACUGCCUCCAAAACUUCCAGCCUGGAGCAAGAUAGAGACAAGUGGAAUUGCGAGUGUAGAGGUGAAAUUCGUAGAUAUUCGCAGGAACACCAGUGGCGAAGGCGACUUGCUGGAUCUUUGCUGACGCUGAGACGCGAAAGCGUGGGGAGCAAACAGGA
rnacentral:rRNA from 1 species